GUUCUUGACUUUUACAUUGUUUAACUGCCUGUAAUCAAUCAUAUCCAAAGGGAACCAUUCUUUUUGCGCACAAACAACAUCGGUGCACCCCACGAAGAAAUGAUAGGAUGAAUAAAUCCCUUAUUAAGAAGAUCCUAAGUUGCUCCGUGAGUUCCUUCAACUCAAUUGAAGCCAUUCUAUACGGAGGAAUAGAUAUUGGAUGAGUGCUUGGAAGCAAAUCAAUACCAAA
rnacentral:lncRNA from 1 species